GACGAACGCUGGCGGCGUGCCUAAUACAUGCAAGUCGAGCGGACGGAUGGGAGCUUGCUCCCAGACCGUCAGCGGCGGACGGGUGAGUAACACGUGGGCAACCUGCCUGUAAGACUGGGAUAACUCCGGGAAACCGGGGCUAAUACCGGAUAACUCUUUCCCUCACAUGAGGGAAAGCUGAAAGAUGGCAUCUCGCUAUCACUUACAGGUGGGCCCGCGGCGCAUUAGCUAGUUGGUGAGGUAACGGCUCACCAAGGCGACGAUGCGUAGCCGACCUGAGAGGGUGAUCGGCCACACUGGGACUGAGACACGGCCCAGACUCCUACGGGAGGCAGCAGUAGGGAAUCUUCCGCAAUGGACGAAAGUCUGACGGAGCAACGCCGCGUGAGUGAUGAAGGUGUUCGGAUCGUAAAACUCUGUUGUCAGGGAAGAACAAGUACCGGAGUAACUGCCGGUACCUUGACGGUACCUGACCAGAAAGCCACGGCUAACUACGUG
rnacentral:rRNA from 1 species